UUAAAGGAAUUGACGGAAGGGCACCACCAGGAGUGGAGCCUGCGGCUUAAUUUGACUCAACACGGGUAACUUCACCAGGUCCGGACGUGAUUGCGAUGGACAGAUCGAUAGCUCUUUCUAGAUCUCACGGAUGGUGGUGCAUGGCCGUUCUUAGUUCGUAGAGCGAUUUGUCUGGUUAAUUCCGAUAACGAGCGAGACUCUACCUUACUAACUAAGACGUACGAUAUACACGAGGUCUGUUGCCCUACACGUUGUUGCUCGCCCACCACCCUCUGGGUGCGUGGGUGUUGUAUUCGGCGUUAGGGCACGGUCCAUACUAUCGGCGCAAAUAUUUUCUUCUUAGAAGAACAAGCUAUAUAUAGUAGCACGAGAGAGAGCAAUAACAGGUCUGUGAUGCCCUUAGAUGUCCUGGGCCGCACGCGUGCGACAAUGAAAGAGACAAUAGGUAUCCUAGGCCGAAAUGUCUGGGUAAUCCUAGCAAUCUCUUUCGUGUUGGGGAUUGGGGCUUGAAAGUGCUUCCCAUGAACGAGGAAUUCCCAGUAAGCGUAGUUGAUCAAUCUACGCUGAUUGAGUCCCUGCCCUUUGUACACACCGCCCGUCGCUACCUCCGAUGAGCGGGCUAGCGAGAUCUUCGGACCGGCGCCUUGAAAGAGGUCGUUACCGGAAAGUCGAUCAAACUUGCCCGUUUAGAGGAAGUAAAA
rnacentral:rRNA from 1 species